rnacentral:lncRNA from 1 species
AUGGAGAGAUGUUCCAUCUCUCCUGUCGCACGACUGACUGCCCUCAUCUUCUUCCUGGUCGCUCUGGUGACAGAACCUUCUACCUGUAACCGCGACGAUGGCGAGGAACCGGCUGAUACUCUGUUGGUCACUGCCCAGGUUACACCCACUCCUUUGUGGGCAGUGAUCUGGGGUCCCACGCAACAACUGGAUGAUGAGACCUACCACUUUGCCUUCAGCCAGGAAACUGACCAGCUCUCCCAGCAGGCCAGCACCACCUCACCUGGAGAUCGGCAUCAUCCAGACGCAAGCUUAGCAUCCAGAGAAAGAUCCUCCUUAGAGUCCAUUAACCAGGAGGGAGCGGAAGGUGUGGACGCAGAGGCUGAGGAGACGGAGCCUGAGGAAGUGGACCCACAGUUCUACGUCACUGUGACCAUCUCGUCACUGCUUAUCCUGACAGCCGUCAUCAUUACAGCUAAACUCUGUUACGAUCGCAGCUGUUCUCAGCAUCCGCCUCCGCUUUCCCGUGGCGUGGCUCCCCCACUCUCGCUGGCGCUCCCCCGAUCCCUCGCUUCAGAGGACAGCCGGCAGACGCUGCACAGCACCUCAUCCUCCUUCACCGACAGAGAGAGGAUCCCAGUUGUAAAUCUCUGAGGAGACUGAUUUAUCCACGUGGUAAACAUUGCUACGGGGGCCUGCGGAAGAACAUCAACACAACCAGAGGGUGUGCCCCAGAGUGCCGUUUUACUUUCCUCUGAAACUGUGAAAUGAAUUCUGGGAUCCCACAUGUUCCACCAUCACAAAACACUUCUGCUUCCCCAAGGUCUAAAGAUUUAAAGCUCAUCCUUCGCCGCUCGCUCCUUCCCUCUCGGAGUGAAUUUCUUUUGUGCAGUUCUGCGUCACUCCAACGUACCACUGAAAUUUCCACCCCCCUGUAUGGCUUCGAGCUCUACCAAGCUACCUACCAGUUUCAUGCUUCAACCUGCCAUGACUAAUCACAAACAAGCAGCCAUGCAGCAUCCUAUUAGCCCCGUGAUGAUGACCUACCUGAGCUUCCAAAAGCUGUUUCCAGGGAUGUAGCAGCCCAGGUGAUGCUGUUCGCUACUAAAACCCAUCCUGCUGACUGUUUUCUUCAUCAAUGUAAGCUCCCUUUUUGCGGAGUGGCAACUGGUUAAUAAAUGGUUAAAACCUCAUUUUCUGCA